UACGUAGGGUGCGAGCGUUGUCCGGAAUUAUUGGGCGUAAAGAGCUCGUAGGCGGUUUGUCGCGUCGGCCGUGAAAACUUGGGGCUUAACCCCAAGCCUGCGGUCGAUACGGGCAGACUUGAGUUCGGCAGGGGAGACUGGAAUUCCAGGUGUAGCGGUGAAAUGCGUAGAUAUCUGGAGGAAUACCGGUGGCGAAGGCGGCAUCCUGGACCGACAUUGACGCUGAGGAGCGAAAGCUAGGGGAGCAAACGGG
rnacentral:rRNA from 1 species